rnacentral:misc_RNA from 1 species
UUGUUUUGUUAUGAUAUAUGACGUUCAUUACACCAUGUUUGUAAAAUAGCCCCGAAGGGCACGGUUCACAGAGGUUUGGAAUAGUUAUAAGCCCGUGAGGGCGUUCACUAAUGAUCCUUCCGCAGGUUCACCUACGGAAA